CCUACGGGUGGCUGCAGUGGGGAAUAUUGCACAAUGGGGGAAACCCUGAUGCAGCAACGCCGCGUGAGUGAAGAAGGAUUUAGGUCUUUAAAGCUCUAUCAGCAGGGAAGAAGAAGACGGUCCCUGAGUAAGAAGCCCCGACUAACUACAUUCACGCAGGCGCGGUAAGACGUAGGUGGCACGCGUUAUCCGGGUUUACGUGGUGUAAAGGGAGUGUAGACGGUAAGAGAAUUCUUAAGCGAAAGCCCUGGGCCCAACCCCGGGCCUGCGUUGGAAACCGCCUGAAUGGAGUGCUGGAGAGGCAAGCGGAAUGCGUGGUGUAGCGGUGAAAUGCGUAGAUAUUAGGAAGAACACCGGUGGCGAAGGCGGCUUGCUGGACAGUAACUGACGUUGAGGCUCGAAAGCGUGGGGAGCAAACAGGAUUAGAUACCCGAGUAGUC
rnacentral:rRNA from 1 species